GAUUUGUCUUUAUUUUCAGAGUCGUCACGAAUUGUAGUCCACCCAGAAAAAAAUCGAUCCGUUUUAUUUGAAUUCAAUCCUACUGAGUGCACCGACGGGAUUCGAUGAGCAGCUUUGAAGGGUACUGACCGUAAAGGGAAUUUAAUGGAAUCGAUGUGCCGGUAAGUGUUUCGUACUAUUUAUUACAUGAUGCGCUAUGUCGUCUAACAAUAUUACUUCCUUUUAAUU